AUGCGGAGACCAGGGACGAGUCCUUCCUCCUGGGAGAGCUGGGAUUCCAGUCCUGGGAGUGAUUCUGGGUCAUCAGGCCGGAGAAUCACACUCUCUGCUAUCAGCAUCCAACCUACUCGAGUCCUGACCCCACACUGCCAGGAGAGUCCAGCAAGCCCUGAGGGCCUGAGCACAGCCAGGCUGGACACUGGAGGCAGCCCCGGGAGAUGCAAAUAAUUGGGUUAUUGAAAAAUGAAGGUGAGGAGGAGGAGGAGAAGGAAGGUGAAAAAAGUGAAGGUGGAUGGCAUUUGCCAUUCCUCGGAGAUUUGCACAUAUCCUGGUUGUAUUAAAUCAGCAGCCUGUAUGGUGUGGUGAGCUCCAAAAUACGUUUCCUGUGAAGAAGGCUUAUAUUCUGCAAAUUUCUACUUCCUGUUCACUGUGCAUAACAAAAGUCGCCAUAAUAAAAGUGAGUUGCAGGAAACCCACUGUGUCUGAACUGCACUGAAGGCUUGGGGACACACACUGGUCUCCCAUGGUGAUAAUUUAUCUACACAAAUCCUCCUGUCCUGGGAUGAGGCAGGAGCUCCAAGGUGACCAAGCAUUCCAAAAAAAAGCCACACGCCUCACAAAACUUGGCUCCAGGGAGCAGGUGGGUGUGUAUCCCGGGAAAGGGAUCAGUGGUGUCUGAGUCAAGAAGAGCCCAGUGGUCCAAGCAAGAGCAAAGAAAAACAGCCCAUGCGGUUUAGUCAAGAGAGAGCCGGGCAGGAUGUCGGGAAUGCUGACUUCUCUGCUCAGCAGCUUACCCAGCUGGGGCAAGGCACUCAAUGCCUCGUUGUCCUCCGGACUGUCACCUGGCAAUGAGGGAAGUAUAUCAAAGAGAGAACGAGGCCUCUGAAUUGCUUCAGGGCCCAUAAAAGGAGGACAGCUCCAUUUUGAAGUUUUUGAGGAUCAGGGUGGGAACAACUUAUGCUUGUUUGUUCUGUGACUAAACGAUGGACCCCAACUUGUGCCAGCUGCAUUUCAUUCAUUUGUUCCUUCCUUCCUACCUACCUUCCUUCCUUCCUUCAUUCACUUAAGAAGUACUUAUUUUGAACUAGUCCUAGAGAUACCCAUUCUCCUCUAGUGGAGCUGAUAGAUUACCAGGGAAGACAGCGGCAUCAAUAACCACAUGGACAUUAAGG
rnacentral:lncRNA from 1 species